rnacentral:rRNA from 1 species
UAUCGCUGUUACACGCGGUUCUCGUUAGAUCACCGAAGUUAAGCAUCAUUGGGCGCAGUCAGUACUUGGGUGGGUGACCACCUGGGAACACUGCGUGCCGUU